rnacentral:rRNA from 1 species
UACGGGGGGGGUAAGCGUUGUUCGGAAUUACUGGGCGUAAAGGGCUCGUAGGCGGCCAACUAAGUCGGAUGUGAAAUCCCCAAGCCUAACUUGGGAACUGCAUCCGAUACUGGAUGGCUUGAAUCCGGGAGAGGGAUGCAGAAUUCCAGGUGUAGCGGUGAAAUGCGUAGAUAUCUGGAAGAACACCCGUGGCUAAGGCGGCUCUCUAGUACGGUACUGACGCUGAGACGCGAAAGCGUGGGGAGCGAACAGG